rnacentral:lncRNA from 1 species
CUAAGUUUAUUGUAAACUAUGUAGUGAACAAUAAACACAUACUCUCCAAAAUGUUUGAUGUGUAUAACACAAUUGAAAUAAGUUUCAAGAGAGAUAGCGGGAGUUUAGGGACCAUGACUAUUGUAGUCAAAGGAGAAGUCAAAUAAAGAAGAUAAAAUUAACUCCAAGGGAACAAACUUUCUUUAUGAAAGGAUGGACAUUGGAAGGGGUAUUUGUAAGAAAUGUCUUGCAAGUGUUAAGAACACACCUUUCGAAGGUGUUGUAAAUUGUUCUUGAAUAGUUCAAAACAGUUGAUUCUUCUACUUGAAUGCUUGAUUCCGUAUUAGUAACUAUGUUUUACAAUCGUUGUAAAAGUGUGACUAAUAAGAAGUAGAAGAUAUAUGAGAGAAGAAAAAGGUGCUUCACAUUCGGAACGUGAAUAAAAUAUAGAUCUCUGCGAAAGUAGAUAGUACUUACUUCCUCAUAUGAACUACCAAAGAAAUUGGAAAAACCAAAGAUUGUCUUUACAUUCCAAUUUUAAGGAACUUAAUUCCGUCACUAUAGUAGAGAUGGAUGAAUGUUUUGUUUGACAAAACAUUGUUCUUUAUUAAAUCAAUGAUUGGAUUAUAGCAAUCUAAUUGAUUGUCUCUAUAGUAGAGAUGAUAUGGUAGUGUUAACUGUUUAGAAUAUAAUGAUGCUU